GUUGUUGUUUUGUCGGUUUCGUUCCCGCGGUUUAGCGGUAUCAAUCCACCAUUCGUACCGCGCCAGCUUGAAACUCGCCUUUCUUGGGGCUUUGCCCUGUCACUAGUUUACGGAGAGUCAAGAUAUGGCAACCGGUAUCGUCAAAUGGUUCAAUGAGUCCAAGGGUUUUGGUUUUAUCUCCCCCGAUGAAGGUGGUGAAGACCUGUUCGCUCACUUCUCUGCCAUCCAGUCCAAGGGUUUCAAGACUCUGGCUGAAGGUCAGCGCGUGUCGUUCGAUGUAACGACCGGACCGAAAGGCAAGCAGGCCAGCAACAUCCAGCCGGCCUGAUGCCUAAAUGCCACCCGGCCACUGGCCGGGUGUUU
rnacentral:sRNA from 1 species